GAUUUGAAAGACUUGAUCCUUAGAACACGUGGCAUGUUGUUAUUGGGGAGAGUAUUGGUAAAGGCUUCUAUCCAUCGAAGAUCGAAGAUCGAUUUGGGAGAAAAAGCGUUCGGUAUAGACUUCCAUCCAUCGAAGAAUCUUGUAGCUGCUGGUCUCAUCGAUGGACACUUGCAUCUAUACCGUUACGGAGUCUUGCAGAGCUGUUCGGUUCAUUGAUGAUGGCCAAAUUUUGUCCCUUUAGCACUGAUUUGAGCUCAUGUCCGAGCAAUUGUAGUUGUUGGAUUUACAUUUUAUUCUUUGUCAUGGGUUUAUGGAUGGUUGUUAACCCUAUAAACAGAAACUUUUGAAUUGCAGAUUGAUCUCAUAAUUAACUGAUGGGUUCCAAAAUCGUCUUUCGAUCCCUCACCGAGUUAUUCCCACAAUUGAUGCAAGGAUUCUAAAAGCUGUAGCUAUUGAGCACCCUAAAGAUGCUGAUGUUGCUGCAGCUAUUGUUAUCUCUGAGAUUGUUCCCAAGUUUUACCCUGAUUUGGCUGAUGAUCCUUCUUCCCAACCUGACAACAAGACACCAGUGAAGGUCCCAGACAACAAAGUAGGACAUGAUAUGGCAAUUAGUGCGUCCUCUUUUCAGUAACAAGGGAUCAGUUGUCAAAAGUGAUUCCGAAUGGCGAUGUUGAUGUUCAGAGCAAAGCUCCGCGUGAUUACAGAAGAAUCAGUAGAAGUUGAUGAUACCAAGAGUUACGUUAGAGUUACACCCACGCCAACUCUUCCACAUUGUCACGUUUGCGAGCUUAUUGGCUUUGCAUCAUCACAAAACUUCUUAAAAGCCAUCCUUCUUGAUUUAAGGUUACAAGUAACUGUUGCGGCUGAAGAUUAGUCUGUUGCAUAUUGUAUAGUUUUUGCUCUGAGUCAUUCUUCUCGAAGAUUAGUCUGUUGCAUAUUGUAUAGUUUCUGCUCUGAGUCAUUCUUCUCGCAAGUUUUUGCUCUUAGACUUGUGUGCAUACAAUAUAAUAAAGUUUAAAUUCCUAAGGACUCUAUCUUGAGUUACACCAUUGAACAUGCA